rnacentral:rRNA from 1 species
GACGAACGCUGGCGGCGUGCUUAACACAUGCAAGUCGAACGGUGAAGCCCCAGCUUGCUGGAGUGGAUCAGUGGCGAACGGGUGAGUAACACGUGAGCAACCUGCCCCUGACUCUGGAAUAAGCGCUGGAAACGGCGUCUAAUACUGGAUACGAGAAGGGUCCGCAUGGGCACUUUCUGGUAAGUUUUUCGGUUGGGGAUGGGCUCGCGGCCUAUCAGCUUGUUGGUGAGGUAAUGGCUCACCAAGGCGACGACGGGUAGCCGGCCUGAGAGGGCGACCGGCCACACUGGGACUGAGACACGGCCCAGACUCCUACGGGGGGCAGGAGUGGAGAAUAUUGCACAAUGGGCGAAAGCCUGAUGCAGCGGCGCCGCGUGAGGGAUGACGGCCUUCGGGGUAUAAACCUCUUUCAGCAGGGAAGAAGCGAAAGUGACGGUACCUGCAGAAGAAGCACCGGCUAACUACGUG